GGGGGAGUGGGUUGUGGAUCGGGGUUCCAAGAAGUGGGAAUUUGGAGUCCUGGGUUUCCUAGCUGUCUCUCUGCUGUCCCUCGAGCCGGGUCGAACCAGCUGCCCGAGCCCGAAGCCUUCCCAGCUCACCAUUCACAGGCGCCUCGUGGGCUCUUUUCCAUUGGCUUGGAAAGCGCGUUCAAGAAUCAUCGUUCAAUGGACUUGACCCACCGGUUGAGUAAAUGAGAUUCCAAACGCUUCCUGAUCUGGGAGGAUCCCAAGAAGAUCCCAGGGCGAGGGUCCUAGCCGGUCUCGGAGGUCAAGUAUGACUGGCGGAUCGUGGACGCUAGCUUUCCAGGGCCCCACAGGCGAGCCAGCGCAUGAAGACUUGGAAAAUCCUGCUUUCGAGUUCAAAGCAAGACAAAGUUGAUCGUUUCCACUUCGUCUACACCACAAGGCAGCUGUGAGUUCGCUAAUAGAGUGGUCUGGUUUCAGGGUUCUAGAACCUUCCCUCUACUCUCCCAGAUCCCAUCCACUGUAAAGCCACGGAGCCUGUAUGAUACAAACACCUAACUACCACCAUCACUACUGCCGCCGCCCGCUGCCAGGGCCCCAAAUCUGAACUCCCUGCGGACUUGCCACAGUA
rnacentral:lncRNA from 1 species